rnacentral:rRNA from 1 species
CCCUUAGAUGUUCUGGGCCGCACGCGCGCUACACUGACGAUGGCAACGAGUUUUUCCUUCGCCGAAAGGUGUGGGUAAUCUUUUGAAACAUUGUCGUGCUGGGGAUAGAUCAUUGCAAUUUUUGAUCUUGAACGAGGAAUUCCUAGUAAGCGCGAGUCAUCAGCUCGCGUUGAUUACGUCCCUGCCCUUUGUACACACCGCCCGUCGCUACUACCGAUUGAAUGGUUUAGUGAGGACUCCUGAUUGGCGCCGCCGCCCCGGCAACGGAGCAGCGGACUGCCGAAAAGUUGUUCAAACUUGAUCAUUUAGAGGAAGUAAAAGUCGUAACA